rnacentral:misc_RNA from 1 species
GAUGAAGAACGUAGCGAACGUGCGAAACGUAAUGUGAAUUGCAGAAUUCAGUGAAUCAUCGAAUCUUUGAACGCAUCUUGCGCUCCUUGGUAUUCCGAGGAGCAUGCCUGUUUGAGUGUCGUGAAUACUCUCAACUUCAACCCUUUUUUCGGAAAGGGAGGAAGGUUGGACUUGGGUGUUUGUUGAAGUGCGAGCUUCGACUCAUCCUAAAUGCAUUAGCGAUCUGCCUCGAUCACACACAAUGUGAUAAUUAAGACUAAAGCAUUGUUUAAUGAUCAAGUCGAGACUGCUUCUAACUGUCGCAAGCCAAUAACGUGCAUACAUUUGUGCAUGUCAUUUGACCUCAAAUCAGGUAGGACUACCCGCUGAACUUAAGCAUAUCAAUAAGCGGAGGA